GUACAGAACUUCACAGAGAAGUGUGGGAUCCAGGACCAGACGAUCAGAAGGUCUGACAUGGAUCCCUCACAGUCCCAGGCUGGAGCACUGAAGUAAGAAUAGCAGCUUCCUAUGGUGCUGUCCUGCAGAGGCAGGGGGCCUCCUUC
rnacentral:lncRNA from 1 species